UUGGGGGGAAAUUAUUAUUUGUAUUCUUUCCAAGAGUUAGACGAGAAGAUGGAUAUGGUUCCCCCACAUGCUCAGCUAGGCUAACAAGCUGUUGGCACUAGCUUUUGACUAACAUUUGCCAAACAGCAGCUAACAACACAAACAGUAAAAGUCUGGUGGCUAAUGCUAAUUUGCAGUGUAACGGUUGACUAACAUAUUGAUAGCAUAACAAUUAGCUGACACAAGCAGACAGGUGUACUAUAGUCUGGGAACUGAGUCAUGCUUAUUGCUCAGCACUAUCUAAUGAAUGCUAACAUUAGCCACCAUACGCUAGUGGUUGUUUCAGUACGAUUAUAGAGGCAAAACUCUUCAGUGUGUUUAACUUUGGCCCAAAGCUAAGAAGUAUUUACUGCUUCCUGCUUCUUCAAGAUGCCUCAUACAUAGACUGUGAGAUGACCAGUGGGCGGAUUUAACACCGGCAUAACACGGAGGCAAAUGACUCAGACUGAAACAUCAGGGAUGGCGGAGAUCAACUGCGUGGAAAAUCCUUGAAAAUGAAAAUGUGGAGUGGUUGAAGAAAGAAAAAUGGACACCAGAAGCUUUAACUUACUCCAAGGACACGAGUAAUGACGCACUUUAUGUACAUUUAAAGGAAAGUAUAAGCAUCACUUAAUAAAAUAUGAUCAAAUGCAAUGAAAGAUAAUAAAACAGUGGGUUUGGUAAAGUUGGUAAGUGGGUUUUUAAAAGUGAUGUCAAAGAGAAUAAACAUCCCUCCUGUAAUGUCUCUCCUUUGUGUUCAGUGUUAAUUUCCUUUGCAGGUGUGAAAGCUGCACAGCUGUGGUCCUCGACAUCAGCAGUUUUUAGGCGUAUGUAUUUGGGUCUAGUAGACAAUUACUGCAGGAUAUAAUAUUAAGCAGUAUAUUAAGCAGUAAACAAACAAUGACACUGACCGAGUGACAUCCACAGCUUCAACAGCAUGUCAGCUGA